UACAGAGGUCCCGAGCGUUGUUCGGAAUCACUGGGCGUAAAGGGCGCGUAGGCGGCUGUUCAAGUCGGGGGUGAAAGCCUGUGGCUCAACCACAGAAUUGCCUUCGAUACUGGACGGCUGGAGACCGGAAGAGGUCAGUGGAACUGCGAGUGUAGAGGUGAAAUUCGUAGAUAUUCGCAAGAACACCAGUGGCGAAGGCGGCUGACUGGUCCGGUUCUGACGCUGAGGCGCGAAAGCGUGGGGAGCAAACAGG
rnacentral:rRNA from 1 species